UGAAAAAAAAUGGAAAAAAAAUUCAAAAAAAAAAAGAAAAAAAAAAUUAUGGCCAAACAGCCCUUAAUAUCUCCAAUUUUAAUCUAACCCACCGAUUUGACACCCCUCAUCAAACCACAUCUAAACAUGUUAAAAUUAAGCCAAAUCAUAAAUCACGUUUAGUAUAAUAUUUAUGCUAGUGGUCAGGACAUUGGACUCUGAAUCCAGUAACCCGAGUUCAAACCUCGGUGGAUCCUUUUUUUGGUUUCUGUUAAUGAGGGAGUAAUCCUAAUCAGCUCAUUAGUCUAGUUCCAUCCGGCAUCCGCCAUUAAUCCUAAUCCCUAAUCAUUUUAUUAAUCCAGUUUUACUUCCUUCACUUCACACUGUGCACAUUAUUUGUACACAACAAUGGUUAUGGACCUACAGCUUUCAGAACCCAACCGCUGAAAAAUCCGCCAAGCAUUCUUAGAUAUACUUCAAACUGCAGAUGGGAGUUUUGUUGAUUCCAAUGAGAAUAAUGGUCCAGUUAUUUGUGAGAUAAAUUGACUCCCACAAAAAAGAAGAAAUCGGAGAUCAACUCCCGCUGAUGCUAGUAAAAUCAAAAGAGCUAGGACACUAACACCUAGCAAAAUAACAAUCCAAGACUUCCCUAGAUGACCUGCUGAACAAGGGAGAAUAUGAGUCGAAAAUGAAUCUGCAACUCAAAGUCAGCAGGAAACAGAGUCUAAUGACAGGAACGAGGGCUCAAGCAUAUCAGGUAGAAAAAAUAGUAGAAACAAGAUUUGGAUAUGGUCAAGAUGGAAAUGAUAUGUAUUCUAAUGAGAAACCCAAGAAAGAACCGAAGAUAGAGAUCAUGAUCAUGAUACAUAUUCUAAAAACAAAUCUACCCGAGAAGGAACCAUUGAUGCGUAUCAACAUCAUAAUGAUAACACCACAUCAGUUGAAAAGUCAACGACUGCCUUUGAACAAAGAAACAAACAUGCACAUGAUCAGGAUGCGGAGUCUUCUACUGCCGAAUCGUCUGGUACUGACAGUGAUCCCAAUAGACCUUGCAUCAAUACUGUCGUUAGAAGCAUUAGUAUUAAGAAGUACGACGUGAAGAUGCCGUUGGAUGAACACAAAAAUCUGUGUGUUGAGGUUAUUGUGAAAUCAGGUAUGGGGAAGUCAUGGAAUGAGUUUAGGAAGAUACUUAGGGAACAAAAGUUGGAGAAAUUCUUUCGGUCAAGUUGUUCGGGUCACUUUCUAAACCUGCCUGAUAAUAUUGUUGCACGAUUUCAAAUGACUGUGGUGAGUAAUCUUCUGCUUCGCAGGGUGAUUUGUAAGAAAAAAGAGGAGGUCUGGGUAAACUAUUGUGGCAUGCUGGUUUGUUUUGGCAUGAAGGAGUUUGUCUUGGUAACUGGAUUGAGAUGUCAUCCUCUUCCUGUCACUAUUAGAGUUGGAGAAGUCUAAAAAAUGAGGGUAAAGAGUUGGUAGACUUUGUGGGGAAGAGCUUUAAGUAAAAAGUUUGCUAACCUUAUUGACUUCUGAAUCAGUCUCAUCUCAAGAGAUUACAAGAAGUCACUCUGCUUAGUUUGGUUUGUGCACAAUAUUCUUUGUGCAAGAGAUGUUAACAAGAAUGUUGAAAAGGAUUGGGUUAUACUGUCAGCCAACAAAGAGGCAUUUCAAUGCAUUUCCAUGGGGUAGAGAAAGCUUUAAGCUCACUAUUGAGUAUCUCCCGAGAGAGAUGAAGCCAAGGGUAAUAAAGACCAUCAACCUCUAUGGUUUUCCAUGGUCUUUCAUGCAUUUGAAGCCAUUCUUCACCUCCGCCAUCAAGUUAAGGACUUCUCAGAGGACGUGUCUUGUCCACGGAUCCUUAGAUGGCUGGCCGCGAGAUCCAACAAUCCUGAUGUUGAUCUGUUUCAACCCCCUAGGACGCGAUUGUGCACCCUGUUUUAGUUCCUAAAAAAAAAAAGUGUUCAAGAUGGAAAAUAUUAUCAAUUUUGUGCCCUUGGAAUCUUGAAACGACGAACUUAUUGAAUUAAAAAAGUGAUUUGACUGGAGCCACAAAACAUCAAUAGGAAUUGGUCUAGGGCUCUUGAGAGUGAUGCUAGGAGGAACGAUGGUGAUAAUGUUUAUAAAGCAAUUGAUGAUAUUGUGGCAAGUGUUGUUGCUGGUUAAACGAAAAAUAACGAUGAACACAAUGUUGUAAGAAGUUAUGGUGGUGAUGGUAGUGAUUUCAGUGGAGAUACUCCAUUUGGAGUUGGUGGACACGCAGCAGAAACUCCUUUCCAGUUGGCUGGGUGUUCAUCUAUUGGGGUGGUACUUCCAAGGUGCCAUCUUGUUCUUGUGAAUGUCACAAGUGCAAAGAGAAUAUGAAGAAGUUGACAGAGAAAAUUGACCCUUUGACCAAAAGUGUUUUCUCUCUUUGGUGAAGGCAUCAGAAAGCUAAGAGGCCUUGAUUAAAAAGUUCAUAUCUAAAAGAGGUAUCUGGCUAUCUUCGUAGAUAUCAUCUCCUUUCAUUCCUAGCUUUAUAAAGAGGAAAGCACAACAAAUUUCGAAGGGCAGUUGGGCAUGUCAAAGAGAAGACAACUAAUACUCCAAAGAAGCACGCAGAUGAUAAAGAAUUGGAGCGCCCUAAGUUGGGUUGAUGAAACAUUUGAACAAUUUAUGUUUAUGUUUAUGUUUUUGUUAAACAAUUUAUAUUUCUAUUAUGUCUAUAUUUGCUAUAUUUAGUGGAUCUGUGUUCAAUAUAUUCUAUGUUUGGUAAA